rnacentral:rRNA from 1 species
UACGUAGGGUGCGAGCGUUAAUCGGAAUUACUGGGCGUAAAGCGUGCGCAGGCGGUUUUGUAAGCCAGAUGUGAAAGCCCCGGGCUCAACCUGGGAAUGGCAUUUGGGACUGCAAGGCUUGAGUGCGGCAGAGGAGACGUGGAAUUCCUGGUGUAGCAGUGAAAUGCGUAGAUAUCGAGGAGGAAUACCGAUGGCGAAGGCAGGUCUCUGGGCUGACACGUGACGCUCAU